AAGAUCUUUGUCUGACAGCUGGUCUGUGUUGCUGGUGCUGGUGGCAUCCUCCUCAUCCUCAGAGCUGCCAUCACAGGACGUGUGGAACAGCCUCAUCAGCUCCCUGAACCUGUGGGACACCUGGAGAAAAGGGAAAUCCAGGGUGUUUUGUAACACAAAAAAAAAAUCAUAAUUUUAUAAUUUUUUGUUAGUAAGUACAGAAAGGACUCCUGGGUCACUGUGCCCUGUCUGUUUUAAAGUCUAAGGAGUCUUUUAUCUUUUAGUGUGGAAAUUUGCAUUCUUUCUCCUCAGCUGGGGUAGUUCUGCUAGGGUUGCAGUCACCAGACUAAACAGCACAUUUUGCAAGCUCAAAGUGGCACAUUUCACCUAAAUCCAAAUGGAUUUCUACCCUGUUAAAUUUUCUCUCUGUCUCAAUACCACGAUGGCAUUUCAAACAGGAGUCGGGCAUAAAGGAAGAGGAAUGGAAGAGCACUGGGUGGUUGAUUUCUCUGGAAGAAAGUUACAUUCUCCAGGUAAAAUCUGGCAGUUUGGGAGGAUCCAGAGGCAAAAACAGAAGCAGGAGGCUGAAAACCUGAGUAGCAGCCACAGAAACAACUCCAGUACCAAAU